UAACAUGCAAUUGGUACAUGCCUUAAUGAGAAUUUCCAAUAUUGUAAGCACAAAGCAAGUUCAAUUCGGGGAAAGAUAUAGGUUCAAAACUAAAAUCUUUAGCCCAAAGGGUCCACCAUUAACAACUCCAAUCGUAAAAAAUAUUGAAAGAAAAUCAAUAAGAAUACAAACUAUAUGUAAAUAAAACAAACUGAGAUAUAGACAUGAAGAACUCAGAAAUAUAGGAAAGACCCAUUAAAAGUGUAGGGAAAAUGAAGAGUCCUUGUUAUACCUCAAAACGAAGGUUCAAAGAGAAAGAGGGUGCGAAGAAUAAAAAACCAAUGGCUAUUGUACAGAGAGUUGUAGGAGAGAGUAAGUAGUGGGAACAGAAGAUGGGGAAGGAAAUGUAUACGUGGCUUUUUGAUAAUGGUUUUCUUGCUCUUUAAUCAUCAUUUCGGCACUCCAAAGCUCAGAUUUUUUAGUUGGGAUUUUCAAGUUCUUUCCCUGUCAAGUUCUUUCCCUGUCAACAAUAAAUCUUUUCUUUAUU
rnacentral:lncRNA from 1 species